UCUUUGGACACUAGAGGAAAAUUCAUCCUUA
rnacentral:piRNA from 1 species